UACGUAGGGUGCAAGCGUUGUCCGGAAUUAUUGGGCGUAAAGAGCUUGUAGGCGGUCUGUCGCGUCUGCUGUGAAAAUCCGGGGCUCAACCCCCGGACUUGCAGUGGGUACGGGCAGACUAGAGUGUGGUAGGGGGAGACUGGAAUUCCUGGUGUAGCGGUGAAAUGCGCAGAUAUCAGGAGGAACACCGAUGGCGAAGGCAGGUCUCUGGGCCACUACUGACGCUGAGAAGCGAAAGCAUGGGGAGCGAACAGG
rnacentral:rRNA from 1 species